rnacentral:rRNA from 1 species
UACGUAGGGUGCGAGCGUUGCCCGGAUUUAUUGGGCGUAAAGGGCGCGUAGGCGGCUUGGCAAGUGGAAGGUGAAAUCCCUCGGCUUAACCGAGGAACUGCCCUCCAAACUGCUUCGCUUGAGACCGGGAGAGGUGAGUGGAAUUCCCAGUGUAGCGGUGAAAUGCGUAGAUAUUGGGAGGAACACCAGUGGCGAAGGCGGCUCACUGGACCGGUACUGACGCUGAUGCGCGAAAGCGUGGGGAGCAAACGGG